AGAAAGGGCCAGUUAACUAAUCAUGCCACACUUAUCAUAGGGUCCGUGUUGUAUGGCUAUCAAGACAUAUGACUGACAUGAUUUUUGUGAAACUCUAAGGUUGGCUCGUUAAGCCGACCCUUCAA
rfam:Medicago truncatula strain A17 chromosome 1, whole genome shotgun sequence.